GUAGUCGUGCCCGAGAGGUUAAGGUGAUGGACUUGAAAUCCAUUGGGGCAUCCCCGCGCAGGUUCGAACCCUGCCGACCAUG
rfam:Danio rerio chromosome 20, GRCz11 reference primary assembly.